CUGCCGAUAGUGGGGGAUACCUGGGGAAACCCAGGCUAAUACCGCAUACGUCCUACGGGAGAAAGGGGGCUUCGGCUCCCGCUAUUGGAUGAGCCUAUGUCGGAUUAGCUAGUUGGUGAGGUAACGGCUCACCAAGGCGACGAUCCGUAGCUGGUCUGAGAGGAUGAUCAGCCACAUCGGGACUGAGACACGGCCCGAACUCCUACGGGAGGCAGCAGUGGGGAAUAUUGGACAAUGGGGGCAACCCUGAUCCAGCCAUGCCGCGUGUGUGAAGAAGGCCCUCGGGUUGUAAAGCACUUUCAGCGAGGAAGAACGCCUGGUGGUUAAUACCCACCAGGAAAGACAUCACUCGCAGAAGAAGCACCGGCUAACUCCGUGCCAGCAGCCGCGGUAAUACGGAGGGUGCAAGCGUUAAUCGGAAUUACUGGGCGUAAAGCGCGCGUAGGUGGCUUGAUAAGCCGGUUGUGAAAGCCCCGGGCUCAACCUGGGAACGGCAUCCGGAACUGUCAGGCUAGAGUGCAGGAGAGGAAGGUAGAAUUCCCGGUGUAGCGGUGAAAUGCGUAGAGA
rnacentral:rRNA from 1 species